CCUACGGGUGGCAGCAGUGAGGAAUAUUGGUCAAUGGGCGUAAGCCUGAACCAGCCAAGUCGCGUGAGGGAUGAAGGUUCUAUGGAUCGUAAACCUCUUUUAUAAGGGAAUAAAGUGCGGGACGUGUCCCGGUUUGUAUGUACCUUAUGAAUAAGGAUCGGCUAACUCCGUGCCAGCAGCCGCGGUAAUACGGAGGAUCCGAGCGUUAUCCGGAUUUAUUGGGUUUAAAGGGUGCGUAGGCGGCCUUUUAAGUCAGCGGUGAAAGUCUGUGGCUCAACCAUAGAAUUGCCGUUGAAACUGGGAGGCUAGAGUAUGGUUGAGGCAGGCGGAAUGCGUGGUGUAGCGGUGAAAUGCUUAGAUAUCACGCAGAACCCCGAUUGCGAAGGCAGCCUGCUAAGCCAUGACUGACGCUGAUGCACGAAAGCGUGGGGAUCGAACAGGAUUAGAUACCCCUGUAGUC
rnacentral:rRNA from 1 species